rnacentral:rRNA from 1 species
GACGAACGCUGGCGGCGUGCUUAAUACAUGCAAGUCGAACGGAAAGGCCCUGCUUUUGUGGGGUGCUCGAGUGGCGAACGGGUGAGUAACACGUGAGUAACCUGCCCUUGACUUUGGGAUAACUUCAGGAAACUGGGGCUAAUACCGGAUAGGAGCUCCUGCUGCAUGGUGGGGGUUGGAAAGUUUCGGCGGUUGGGGAUGGACUCGCGGCUUAUCAGCUUGUUGGUGGGGUAGUGGCUUACCAAGGCUUUGACGGGUAGCCGGCCUGAGAGGUUGACCGGCCACAUUGGGACUGAGGUACGGCCCGGACUCCUACGGGAGGCAGCAGUGGGGAAUAUUGCAAAAUGGGCGGAAGCCUGAUGAAGCAACGCCGCGUGCGGGAUGACGGCCUUCGGGUUGUAAACCGCUUUCGCCUGUGACGAAGCGUGAGUGACGGUAAUGGGUAAAGAAGCACCGGCUAACUACGUG